AACGCUGGCGGCGUGCUUAACACAUGCAAGUCGAACGCUGAAGCUCAGCUUUUGUUGGGUGGAUGAGUGGCGAACGGGUGAGUAACACGUGAGUAACCUGCCUCCUUCUUUGGGAUAACGCCCGGAAACGGGUGCUAAUACUGGAUAUUCACUGGUCUUCGCAUGGGGGUUGGUGGAAAGGGUUUUUCUGGUGGGGGAUGGGCUCGCGGCCUAUCAGCUUGUUGGUGGGGUGAUGGCCUACCAAGGCUUUGACGGGUAGCCGGCCUGAGAGGGUGACCGGUCACAUUGGGACUGAGAUACGGCCCAGACUCCUACGGGAGGCAGCAGUGGGGAAUAUUGCACAAUGGGCGCAAGCCUGAUGCAGCGACGCCGCGUGAGGGAUGGAGGCCUUCGGGUUGUGAACCUCUUUCGCUCAUGGUCAAGCCGCAACAAUGGUUGUGGUGAGGGUAGUGGGUAAAGAAGCGCCGGCUAACUACGUG
rnacentral:rRNA from 1 species